GUGGUUGUCAGGGAAGUGUCGCUAAGUCACAAGGUUGACAGCGUUUGGUUCCAUACCAUCCUGCUUGUAUUACCUUGGUGGGUGCAGAGGCUAUGAACAAAGAGAGGAAGGAAUGUUGUGGUUGUCGGUGUCAAUGGAGCUCAUGUAUGUUGGGCCGCUGUGUAUCAGCUGUGUGCUGCUGUCUCUUCAGUUGUGUCUGGAUGCCUUUUGGCCCUCACAGCGCUGGCGACAGCUCCUCAAUGCCUACUCCUACUAUCUUAGGAGGUACACACUAUGUAUAGACACUGCAACACCUGUCCUGGAGCAUCAUCCAGCCAAAUGCUCUCCCAGUUCCUAUCCAGUGUUAAGUGCUUGUGUGGGUGUAUGUAGUAUACAGUAUGUGUGAUGCAAUCAACCUCAAAACAUCUUGCCAUUUUGCCCAAUGCUCAUGUACUAAAUUGAGCAAAUUCAUGUUCUCUUAAUUCAUAUAAUACAUGUAUGUUUGAUAUUUUAUUGUAUGAGAAAAUAAUUUAACAGUACUAUAAAGAAUUACUUCUCUUUACUGCCUAAAACCUUUCUCCCUAUACCUCUUUCACUCACACUGUUGCUAGGUAACAGUUAAUUGUUAAAAGUAGGUACUUGUAUUGUAGUGCAUUCUGGGAUUGUGGGGGUGAGAUGAAGUGGAAGGGAGGACAGACAUUGAGAGAAAGAGAAAAUAGGGCAACAUGUAUUGGGGGAGGAAGAAAAAAAAGCAUAUUCUAUAUUAAUAAAGAGAGUCUGAGACCGACAUGUGUUUACAGGAUAAGCUAAGAGUUGACAUUGAAAAAGCAGCCUGCAUUAUGGACUUAGAGAGAUAGUAUCUUCACCGCUGUCAUCUGUCCUCCUUACCUCUCGUCCCAUUUAUAUUUUCUCUUUCCCUUUCUCGGGCUCUUCUCAUUCUCUAUAAUCCAGUGGACUCUCAUCCAUAACUCACAGGUCUCCCUCCAUUUUAUUACAUCCCUGCCCCCCAUCCUAAUAACUCAAGGUGACACACAAUAUAUGGGGGCCUUGGAGAGAGAGAGAGGGGAAAGAGCGAUAAGGAGCAAGAGAAAGAGAGAAAAAAAGACAGAGCGAGAGCAAGGGAGGGUGAAAGAGGGCAGGAGAGAGGGCAAGAGAGAGCUUUGCCAGUUAGAUGGGGUUAAAUUAGAGUCCCUGAAAGCUUGGCCUUCAAACAAGCCCUGAAUGGGGAUUUGCUCUGACUGGAUCAUUGGCCUCUGCCCUGGCCUCCCAGCCUGUCUACCUCUGUGUUCCCUCUCCUAUAUUAACCUCUCUAAUCUCUCCCCCUCACUCUCUAACCCUCUAACGUUCUCCCGUCACCCCUCCUCCCAGACGUCUUCAAAAAAGUCAGGCUUUUCUCUUGCCCCUUUUUUUCUCAUGCCUCGCCCCCGCUAUCAAUCAUUUAAUAAGUCUUGCUUUCCAACUUGACUGAAAGAUUUAUAAGAGGGGGAGAGAGAGACAUGCUAGAGGAAGCUGAUACAUGGGGAGAUGAGUGUCAUAGUGGUUGUAGGUCUGAACAAGAAUGGAGGGAUGUGUAAACUGACAGACAGAAGGGACAGAGAUACUGAGAAUCAUGAGUAAGGUGUACAUUCACAGGCAUGUGCUUUUGCUCCAAAAUAAUUAUUUGGCUAUCCUCAUAGGAUAACCUUUUUUUGGUUCCAGGUAGAACUCUUUGGGGUUCUAUAUAGAACCCUCUAUGAAAAGGGUUCUUCAUGGAACUCAAAAAGGUUCUACCUGGAACCAAAAAGGGUUCUUCAAAGGGUUCUCAUAUGGGGACAGUUGAAUAACCCUUCUAGGUUCUAGAUAGCACCUUUUUUUCUAAGAGUGUAUGUCUCCUAUGUUCAUUCCCACAACUAUUUCCUAACCAUAGUAUAAUAAUGUCCCUGACAGACUGUUUAGGUUGACUCCAUUGGUCCUACUGGGCCCGGGCAAAAUGACAUCUUGAUGUUAAUGCAUGGGAGACAAUCUCUAUUUGAAUAGAGCACAGUAACCUAGCUACAGAUUCUCUGGGCUCACACCAUGGAGGACUGCUUGUCUCUCAUAGAAAGUAAGGGCACCAUGUGGUAUUUAAAUGUAUUCAAAUGGAGGAACGCAGGGUCCAGAACCGGUCACAGACUACUAGAUCUGGUUGAGCACAGGAGUAACCGGAGCCCUGGGCCUGGACAGUGGUGCUGUGGUCUGUUAGGUGCUGUGGAGCGCCAGCAGUGUGGGUCGCUGCGGAAACCCAGCCGCCCUGCAACUCAAGGUACCAUGUUGCCCUGCUUCCUGGGCUGCCACCUCUCACCCACGGUCCUAGCUCUUUCCACAUCUGCCGAGCUGAGCUCCCAGACAGAGAGAGAGAGGGAGAGGAAGAGGAGAGGGAGGAGGAGACAGAGUGAGAGAUGGAGUGUAAGGGAGACUGCAGCCCUGUCCAGUAGACUGAGCAGACAGACUCAGUAUGUCUUGCCAGUAAAAGCGAUUGAACGUGAGAGACAUACACAAGCAGGGAGCAAGGCAGAACUUUACUGGAACAUAAAUAUAUCAGGGAAAUGGGAAAUGAAAGAUUGAGGGGGUACAGGGGAGAUGACAAAUCUUCAAAAUGACAGGAGGGAAAGAAAGAGAGGGAGGGAGGGGUACAGAGCACACAAGGGCAGAGAAAGGAAGACUCAUCCCCAAAUUUGUGAGAUUGGCAUUUUUAAUUAAUACUCAACACGUAAUUUUUGUUCAUCAUGUACAAAGAAAAUAAGUCAUAUUUUAGCACUUAUCAUUGAAGAUAUCAGUAUUAUCCUUAUUAGAGGUACCAUGAUGAUGUUUUUUGUGCAAAUAUCCAAUGACUUUAUUAAUUUGUUCUUGUGGUUCAUUUAAUCAUUUCCAUACAAAAAAAAUGAAGGAAUGAGUUUAAAUGUUUUCUCCAAUAUUCAUAUUUACACAAUCUGUACAAUUCUUUAUUUGUAUAUCAUUUUCUGUUUGUAUAAUGGUGUAAAAAUGGUGUAACAUUUCAAAGAAAGGGCCACAAAAGGAGAAAAUAAUGGCCUACAAUAACAUGUAUACAGUUGAUACUAUUCAUGUUACAUUUCACCUACUCAUGGUUAAUUCAAUCAGGAUAUUCAGCUUCGGUAAAGAAAGAUCACAAACUUGCCCUAAAACGCAGGCUGUCUGUACACACUCUCAGCAAUGAAUAUUUUUUAUAAAAUACAUUUUGCAACAACCCCUUAACCAAUGUUACCCACAUUACUAUAACAUGUGUCCUGUUAUGUAUCUUAAUCAUGAAGACAAAAGGAAAUCAAACCGUUGUACAGGUUAUAUGCUCAAAUAAACACACGCGCCCACAACUGACCAACCAUUCAAGCAUACACACAAAAACACACACAGUGCACCACUUUCAUUCAAUCUACAAGAAAUGAGAGCACAACAAAAAAUGCAUAAAGUUGCAAUGUUAACCCUUCCAAAAACCCAUCAAUAUUCAUAAGAUGAACUUUUUCUUUAAUUUGUCCAAAGCACUCAAGUGAGAAUAGGCCUGUAACCAAUCACUGUGUUCUCAAUGUAAUGAUUGUAAUACUAUUACUAUCAACGUUUAUAUUGUUAUACAAAUUAAAAUCCUUUUCAUCAAUUGGCAAAAUAUUAUAAUAAAAACACAAUGAAACCAGUGUUGUUUAUUCAACUUUGAAAUACAGGAAUAAACCAGUGUUGUAGAUGUAGUGAUGUUUGUUAUCAUAUUAGAUCAAUGUGUUCCAGCUGGAGUAUCCACCCAAUAGCAUCGGCCUGUUCUACAGUCCACUACCAUGGCAGAGCAUUUCCUUGCUUUGGCUGAUGUGACAUUGCAUUUAGCUUCAUAUCCCCAUUUAAACAAAUGUGUAUGUGUACAGACAUGCUUGUGCAGAGAGUGUGACUGGGACCAAAAGGCCUUGGGGAAAUAAACACUGCUUGCUGUUUCUCACUUGCUGUCCGUAGAGUAGUUGUGGUAAAGGGUACGACAGCCUGUACUAAGCAGUAUCAGUUUAUUCCACCCUGUUCAAUCAGUGAAAAAAACAGUUAAGACCAGUGUGCCAUUUUCAAGAAGAGUUCCUGACCAUCCAUAUCACAAUGUUUGCCUGUACAUUUAAAGGGAUUCUUCCAUUCAAGACUAAUCAACACACCAGUAGAUUCCAACACAAACACUCCAAGGGAUCAUGCAGUUUAUUGCGAUGAGUAAAAUCAACAUGAGUUGCAUAAAAAGUAUGCAGACCCAAACAGAGUGCAGUGAAAACACAGUUUUCAAUUCAAUUUUCAGAAAAAACCCUCUAGACAUAAAUCCAUUUGAAUGAGAAAUGUCAAGCUAAAAUGAUUUCUCCCAAAAAGUUGGAAAAUAAACAAAUUGAAACUUAUUGAAAGCAAUAAUGCUCAGACAAAAACUAGCAGAUAAAUAAAAAAUGGCUUAGACAACAUAUAUAUCUCCUCACACAUGCAUACCAAACAGUUUGACACACAGUGGAGAUUUGAUCAAGGAUAAAUACAUCACAAAGGAUAUAAUUUUUUUCUCUGACAAGAACCCAAAUGAACAUAAUGAUGUCAACUCAUUGCCUUGAAUUAAUUGAUUCACCCUUCAUUUCUAACCAUCUGCACAUUAUGUUUAGGUGACAUGGAUGAGAAACAUUUCAUCAUUCUAUAAAGGGUUGAAAACUGCAUUUCCAUUUCAGAUGGAUUAUUCACUGUGAUGAAGCUAACCACUUCCUUUUGACCCCAUCUGCACCACCAUCCUCUGUUAUUAUGAGAGCAACACUGGGAAAAGUCCAAUGUUUUGUGCCCAGUGCUACUGAACACGUAUCACUGAAGAUAUCAGUAUUAUCCUUAUUAAAGAUACACAGAAUGAGGAGGAAGAGUCAGUCCUGCGUAGUGUAGGCUCUAUCAACACCAGUGCAGUCGGCAUCAGAUCCCAGUUGAAUAAAGGACAACAUAACACAAAUGAUCUUGCACUCAAUUACUUAAUUAAUGAGGAUUGCUUAAAUGAAGGAUCACAAUAUACAGUCUCUAUAUGCAAAAGCCAUCUACUGGUAUGUAUACAUGUGAUACUGUAUUACAUAAAUGUAUAGAUAAUUGUGUGGAUCCCGUAAAGCAUGAAGAGUAGCCUAUCUUAAAAGAGAAUCUAACACAAUUCAAGGGAAACUUAGCAAAGACUCUUAAACUAAACUUUCCCCCUUAUCACCAAACGUCUACACUAAAUUAUCCUCAAUUUCCAACACUUUACUGAAAAUGAGCAAAAGCAUAUUCUUAAAAUAAUUAUAUUUACUGGUGAACUUUUAUAAUUAAGUAAACAUGAGAUUUAAAGCAAAUAAAAGGUUCAAUCAUAUCACAUCAUUAUUAAUCAUUAUUAAUCAUAUUUGUCUUAACUAUUUUUUGCAUAUUUUUUUUUUUGUAUUUUUAUGUUUUUAUUACCAUUUUGUUUAUUUCUUAAAUGGUUGUAAAACAUAUUGAAAUGUACAUCCUGACUGUCUGCCUACUGUACAAAGGGAAAAUAGUUUUUAAAUAUAUUUACAGGGAAAAGAGAACAUACUAAUGCUGACAUUGAUUGAUAAUAACUCUAUUUCUUUCCUCUUCUUUCCGUUGCUUCUUCAAACCUUCUGAAUACUGGAUGACCAUCCAAAACAUGUCCAAAGAUACCCAUCCAUUUGUGAAGUAAUUCACAGGGGGUGUUGACUCAGUUUGAUUUAAGGCUAACUUGAUGGGUUUUAUCUUAAUAGUAUGGAGAGAGAAGUGGGUACUGAAUAAAUGAAUAGAUUAUCAGCAGGUCUAGGAAAACAGCUGUUGUCACUCAAUCAUUUCCCCUCCAUCUUCCAUCUCCAUAUUACAGAGUGCAGUUUGAUCAUAUUGGAAGUAGGAAUGACUCAGCGCAAUCUACUCCCUCAGCACCUUCAAUCUCCAUUCAGCACUGAAACACAAUUUCCUGCAGCCCUUGAACUCAUGACACCUCAUACUAAUUGAAGACAAACCUUUAAAUAACUGAUAGGCUCAUAUGCUGUACAAUAUCUUGUGUCAUCAGUCAGUUUCAUGUGAUAAGGCAUGUACUUCUGAAAGUCUGAACCCGGGGGGGGGAGGUUCAGUGCAAUGUACAAGUCUUAGGUUAAAAGUACUGUCAACAUCUGUCAAAGCAGACAGCGUGAGCAUUCUCAAGACAUCCUCCGUCUAACUGCCUCAGUCUGAGGAGGAAUGUCCCAUUUGGAGACAUCCUCACGACUUACAUUCACCCAUUCAUCAAUACCAUUACCAUCUUCUUUGGGCAACAACAUCUUUUAAGAGGAUUUGAGUUCAAUUUAGAAUUACAGAGCAUACGCCUGUAAUACACAUUAACAACACUCUGACUGCCGUGAAGUAAAACUGCAUUCACAAAUGCUUCUUCAACGUGUCUCAUAAGCCUGUAUGGACCUUCCUAACUUCAGAGAGUGAACGCAACGGGUUUUACGAGAUAAGUGGUGUGUUAAAAAGUGAGCCUAGGAGGCUGCUGGCUGUUUUCUAAGAACCUGAAUCCAAAAAGGGUUGAUCAAAUGCUUGUUAGAUGAGGCACAGCAGUCUGACAGUAUGUGUGGUGUUCUUUAGUAUGGACGUGUGACAGGUUUAUGAAGCACUUCCAAUGGUAUUUUAAUGUCUGUGUAAUAAUGUCCACAUCAAGUUAAGUGUUAGUUAUUCAAACAUGUUGUUCUCUUGAAACACACCACAGUCUCUCAGUCUCACAUCUGUAAAUAAUGACUUGGUUUCAGAGCAGCAGGUUUCCCCCUUCAAGACAAGGGGAUAUUGCACACAUCUUGUUCACUACGUAUCGUGCUGUUACACAACGCCCCGCUGAGCUCUCUGGGGUGCACAUCAUCUGGAGUCCUUUAAGGCUCGUCCUUCAGUCAGUAUCUUCAGCCAUCUGCUUCAUGACAAGACAUGUCUUUCACAGUUGUUGACCUGUUCAGAAACAGGGUGUGAAAUCUCUUGAAACCUCAAACAAAGAAGAACCGUUCAGUACUGUGCAAAUGAUGCCUUCCAGAUCUUUCCGUAACCAUUUUAAAAACAGCAAAUGAAUGAAUGAGCAUGGACUGUAUAUCAUUAAAACAAAAACAAGAGACCUAAUGACUUUUCACUCAGUCCUUCAGGCUUGUUAGUUGAAUUAGAUAACAAGCUUCCUGCCACCAUCGGGCAGACAAAGAAAUAACCACAAAUAUUAAACAGUAUUGAAAUAUCAAAGGAACAUAAAACAAACUUAAUGUCAUAAGCACUUCAUAAUAUCACUUUUGUUAAUCACAAUGUUAAUAACAUUAUUGUUGUUUUACCCUGUUAUUUCAGUAAGAAUAUCUUAUUUUCAUUUAUGAUUGAAUUAGCAUAACAAUAAAGAGUCAAAGGGAGGGAGCAGAAGGGAGCAGGGGGUGUAAGGGAG
ensembl:lncRNA